ensembl:lncRNA
GGCCGGCCUCCUGCCGCCGCGGGCUGAGUGCGGGGCGGGGGCACGCUGCCCUUCUCGGGUUUGGGUCGUGGGUGAGGAGCUUGGGGAGGUCGGGGUACUGCCGCGGGAGCUCCGAUUUUCCGGACUGUGCGGACACGGCCAGCGGGAACCGCUUCCUGGGAGCCGGCCGUGGCCGUGCGGGCGUCCAGCCGCCCGCGGAAACGUUCACGGGCGGACUGCAGUCGGCUGCCGCCUAGUAAACGCCGUGAGGUCUGCGCUCCUUGCCGUCCCGCUGUAAUGCGGUGCUUCCGUCUCCAUCUCGAGGCCACAUCUAGACUGCCGCGUGCCCCUCACUACAAGAAAGACGUUGAGUGUGUCCAGAGAAGGGCAGCGGAGCCGUGAGGGGUCUGGAGCACAAGUCUUAUGGGGAGCAGCUGAGGGAACUGGGGUUGUUCAGUCUGGAGGAGGCUCAGGGCAGACCUUAUCACUCUCUUUACCAGCCUGAAGGGAAAUUGUGGAGAGGUGACGUCGGCCUCUUCUCCCAGGUAACAGUGAUAGGGUCGAGGUGAUGGCCUCAAGUUGCACCAGGUGAGGUUCAGGCUGUGUGUUGGGAAGAAUUUCACCUCACAAAAAGCGGUGAGGCAGUGGCACAGCUGCCCAGGGAGGUGGUGCCGUCACCGUCCCUGGAGGUGUUCCAGAACCGUGUGGAUGUGGCACUGAGGGACGUGGGCAGUGGGCAUGGUGGGGGCGGGCUGACGGUUGGACUGGGUGACCUGAGAGGUCUUUUCCAACUGUAGUGAUUGUGUGAUUCUACAAUAUGCAAGCUGUGAGCAUACUACUUGUCUGCUAUGAAAAGAAAAGCUAUUAAAAGGAGAUGAUGGGCAUCCAUAUAACAAUGUAUUUAAAAAUUAAUGACAGUAAGAAGUGGUUAUUUAAAAAGCUCUUAUAGGAUAAGAAUAGCCCAGAGGUUCUCCUGCCCCCAAAACAAUCCUGGGGAUGGUAAGUCAUUAAAUGCUUGGUGAGGUGUGGUGGUACUUUCUCCCUUCCCAGUCAGCUAAUCAGUAAUUUCCAGUAGUGUUUCUGGAAGUUUUUUACAUUCAGCUUUGGUUUUGGUCACAGAGAUUUGAGACCUAACAGAGAAGAGAACCACAUUCACUUUUGUUAAUGCUGUCUUGAGACGUGCUUCUGGUCCAUGUUGUGGAGUCCAACCAACAGGAUUGCUGACUACAUCAGACUUGGCCUAGCCAUCAUCAAUCAAAAUGUUAAAGCUCACGCUUUCUGUGUGAGAAGUUUCUCCAACACACAGCGUCUGUGGAUGGGGCUUAAUGAUGAACCUCUUAGAAAUGGCUGAGGAGGAAAAAAAAAAAAAAAGAGGAAAGGACUGCCACAGACAUAGGAAAGAAACAACACAGCCACCUUGGCAACAAUCCUGGGUCAGCAAGGGUUGCAGAGAGGAGUUGAGCAUGUUUGUUAUAUUAUCAUUGUCUUAUUUAGCCAAAAAAACACACAAGGAAAAAGUCACCACACGUAGGUCUCUUGCCACUGAAUGAUGCAGCCUAAGCCUGCUAACCAGGCAGUCUUAGGCAAAGCCAAGGGAAGGUUUGUGAACAUGGAGAGAGCCCUGCAGGGAUGCUCUGGAGAUUUCCAUUCUGUUUGAAAUAAGCUUGGAUGGUCUAUGGGCAAUAGUUUUAUCACACUUGUUUCUAUAGAGGCAAACAGAAACAGAGAGAAUGGGAAUCCAGUAGGUUUUUAGACACGUAAUGAGAUGCUGUGGAAUUAUACAUUUUCCCACAUGCUUUCUUACAUGGUCUAGGAAAGAACAGGGCUAUCCCACACUGUGUUACUCAAAGUCAGUAGGCAGAGAAAUAACUUCAGAAAUGAGUGAAGAUAUAACUGGAAGGAAAGUUCUGAAAGAGAAUGAGGUUUCUGGCCUUAUUCCACCCUUAGCAUGUGCUCCAAAAUGACAGUACUGGAGGUAUUUAUAAUGCCAUGUAUCAUUCUUAGAUUUAAGCAACAAAUAGCACCAGACAGGGAGCCUGCUGUUCAGAUGGCUUCAUCUUUUUCAUCCGUAAAGCAUGCCUGUAAUUUUUUUUCUCUGCAAAUCACUGAGAUGCUGGGUGAAGAGAGGUUCCUCAUGAGUGUAAAGUGAACUGUGUGUCUAUGGGCAGCACACGAGCAGCCCCGCAUGCCCCAGGCUGGGAGAGGUGAAUUCAUUUCAUUCCCAAGGCUUGGUUGGUGGAACUCCUAGAUGACAUAGAGUCUGGAUGGAGCAGAGGCAGCAGUGAGUGUGGAGAAAUAAUGUGUGGGGUUUCGGGAAAUUAAUAAAUCUAACACUGGAAAUUUAAGCUCCUGGCAAAUAUAUAUAGGGAAAGGUAACUAAAAUACUUUUAUUCCAAGAUUCCAGGCACCGAAGAAAAAUGCUUCAUGGAGAUUAAACAACAGCUGCUGUUUUCAGCCCUUUGUGAUCUGCAGCCCUCAAACUUCUCCACUUCAGCUCCAGACUCCAGUGGUGCAGUUGUCAGCGGGUGUCAAUGCUCUCGCUUCUCAGAGUUGCAUGUCCCCUUGAAGCCACUCACCAAUUCAGAGGUCCACAGCUCUCUGUCUGGAACCACUGGGCUCACUGACAGCAGAAAAGAGAUUUUUCUAAAGAACUGAGCCACAGCUCUGCAGAUUCUCUGUACUGGUAGUCGGCCGUGUUUGGGAAAUACCUCCCAGCUGCGCUGAAACAAGGAGCAAGUUACAGCCUUGGUCAGCGCCCAGAAGCAGGCUGAAGCACCCAGCACACUGCUCGCAGGCACAGGGUCAGCUGUGAAAGGACCUUCAGCAUCCACCCCCGUUCGCUAGAACUUCCAGGCCUUCAUGUAGAGUGAAGCUGUAUUUCAUAGCAGUACAACCGUUUGAGUUGGUAGGGAUCCUUAAAGCUUAUCCAGUCCAACCCCCCUGCAAUGAACAGGGACAACUACAGCUAGAACAGGUUGCUCAGAUCCCCAUCCAGCCUGACCUUGGAAGUCUCCAAAGACAUCCCCUAUAUAUUUCUGGUCAGCCUGUGCCAGUGCCUCACCACCCUUAUAGUAAAAACCUUUUUCCUUACAUCCACUCUAAAUCUUCCCUCUUUUAGUUUGAAACCAUUUCCCCUUGUCCCUUCCCUUUGUAUUUCCUGCUCUGUAGAGCCAAGUCCCCAGCACAGACCAGGCAGACAGCAAUCCUCCUCUACUAAAGUCUGGAGGGAUCGUGCUUGAUAUAUCAUAUUAAUUUCAGGAUACUUCAGUGUUUAAACAACGUAGAUCUAGUGGAGACAGAUUAAGAAAUGAACAACAGAAAUCCUUAAAGGUUCAAAGCUGACUUGUGAGCUCAGGUUGGAUGCAUUUGAUGUAUGAGUAACUUGGCUGAACGUGACAAGUGGAGUACAAAAUAGCUGCCUACAAAUAUCAGUGUGUUGAACAGGAAGAAAGACGACAAAUGCAUUUACUGCAUUUAAAAAGUAAUGCAGUAAAAGCAGAAGGAGAGGUGUUUUUAUCAAAAAUUGAAGGCUAGAUUAAAUAGUAAGCAGAUCCUGCUGCCCACGUGUUUUUUUCACUGUGCACAACAAUGUACUGAGGGACCAGAGUCAUUUUAGAAAUAGUAAAAGAUGGAUCAUUCCCUCUAAUGUAAUUUGGGGAUUAGAAAGAUUAGAUAACUAAAUAAAUGCCUCCUGUGCCUAGCUAAUGGCUUCCUUCACUAUGAGAAAUCCCCUACAGGAGGGGAUUUUUGAAGAUGCUUUGAAAGGCCUCCGCAAAGUUUUUCUCAUCAGACGCCCUCCCAGACAUUGUCCUGUUGGAAAGGGGCCAUGUUUGCUUCUCACUUGCAGAAAAUCCACUUCAAAUUUGGCAGAAACAGGAGGGCCCGAAGGGAAAUCGCAGUCAUUCACAAGGAGCUCCCAACUCCUGGCAGCAUGCCUCCAUUGAAACCACUCUGCAGAGACCCUUCCCUCUAGACAUAUCAGCUCCUGGGAAUCUGCAAACAUAAUUCUUACGCUUAGAUCUAUUAAAAAAAUCCAAACACAAGACACGUGUGUGUCUGUAAGGAUCCAGGAGGUGGCAAAGGUACUCUACACCAAAGGUCUUCUACACCAAGGACAGUUGUGGAAGUGCUGGAGCAUUCUCAGCUAUGUUUCCAGUGUCCUUAAUGGCGGGAUUGCAGAAGCCAGCUCAUGUUUAUGGGGCCACGUGUUUUUUGUCUUCCCAUCUAUUCUGGUAAAAUAACAAAAUGUAUGACCUGUAAUUACACGCUUUGUUUAUUAUCUCUGAUUAAAUUGAUGCCUGUGCAAUAAUGAAGAUAUAAGAAGUUAUAAUAUUCUCCCAGGAGUAAGUGCAAUUAAGCUACAGGCAUCACUGUAAAAACAGAUUAGACGUCUUGACUCAUGGUUUCGUGCAAUAGUAUUUCAGGACUUUUUCCCUGUCAACAACAUUAUAAUAAACAUGUUUAUAUUUCAACCAGCCAAACUCAGUUCUUUUCUCAGCUCUUUUACUGAACUACUUAGGAGAGAAAGUAGUUCAGUUGUCCCACCUAUUUUUGUUGCUGAUUCUGCUUCUUGUUUUACUUCCAGCAUCGCUCCGUGACUUCCAGUUGCAAUUUCUGCAAUUUAGGACUGACAAACCUCUUCUGGGAAGCAGAUGAUUGAGGGGAAACCCAGGCAGGGGUUUUCAAGUCACACUUUUCUGCGAAGGAUGGCACAGGGAUGUGACCGUAUCUUGCCCUGCCAAUCCCUUGACCAACUCCACAGUGAGAUGGGUCUCACCUGCUUUCCUCCCCAUCUGCAGUAGGUGCAGAGGUCUCUUCACCACAGCUUGCCAAACCAUUGGUAAAUGACCCCUGGAAGCCAGGAACAGAGGCAGUCAUUGGUGUGGAGAAAAGGGUCUGAUGCUGCACUGCUGCUCCGUGGGAUUUCUCAUUGUGAAC